AUUAGAUAAUGACCAUGAGCCAAAGAUUCACUUUUGAGUUUGGUACGCACUGCUUGAAGGCUGGGUAUGACUAUAUGAUUGUUUUUUUUUUUUUUUCUCUCCCAGUUUGAACACAUUAAUUGGCAGAAGUUUCCCCUGUGAUCUUCCAGUACAACAUUCUUCCUGCAGCCACACCUGACCAGUGGGAGGACUGACUAAAUUCUUCAUCCUCUCCAUCCCAUGCCUUUACGUCUGCUGUGUCUCCCACGUGUUCGUGGAUCGUGCCUGAGGCUGGGACAGACAACUCACAACCAUGAAGAAAAGGCAAAGAGAAUCACAAAGAUGCCAGCCCAACGCUGGGAAGCUACUAGCCUACACCAAUGCUAACAACCAUCCAUUUAUGACUUCUUGUCAUGUGAGGAGAAUGAACCUUCUGUGUGUGAGGAAACAGGCUGAAGAAGGAUAACUACAAGCCUUGUGAGUUGGAAAAACGAAGGCUCAGAGACCCUGGAUCACCCAGUGAGUAAGCAGCAUGCCCAGGUCUAGCAUACCAUUCUCCUGCUUUCAGCUCUUGUAUGCUAUCCACAUGCUUACAGCAUGCUUGGACAAUGCAGAAACUCAGCUUUGGUACUUUGGGUAAUCUGUUCAUCUGUGAAAUGGGAUAACUCAUGCUGAUCUACGGACAAAAAUAACUGUAAGGAUGACAUGAAAUGAUGCAGAUAGCAGGCACUCAAAAAACAGAGCUCUAUCAACAUUCCUGCUUCCUCUCAAUGACUGGCACUGAACCGUCCUUAACACCCCAUUUCUAAGCCAAGAGAUUCUUCAAGACCAAGCCAAGUCUGCCGUGCCACUGUCCCCCGCAGGAGCCUCUGGCUUCAUCAAGCCCACAGAUCCACAGUUGCUUUGUUCGCCGAGUGACAUUUCUAUCAGGCACCACCUUGGGCUGGUCACAGAAACUUCGUAGGAGCCAUCAGUCCUGGAGCUCAGUACCCCAGGGUUGAUGCCUUGACAACUGUGUCACCACUCUCUUAUUACCUAUCUGGAGGGUCACCUUUCUGACAGACAGCUUUGAAAAUUCUUUAUUAAACUUUUUUUUUUUUUUAGUAGAAAAGACAGAUUAUAGUUCUGACAUGCUCUACUUAUUAUGACAUGAAACAAUGUUCUUAUUUCUUUUGCUUGGGGAUGUUGAACUGCUGGCUUUGGCCCAUGUGGGGUGUCACAAUGAUGUAUUAGUUAUUAGGUCAGACUUUCCGUAACCUUUACGUAUUCAUUUAUUCACUCACUCACUCACUUACUCACUCACUCACCUAUACAUUUGAAAGUCUACUGUGAACCGGGUCUAACAGAGGUUAGACAUUUAGUGGAUUACACAAAAAAAACAAAACAUUUACCCUCAGUCUUUGAUCUGAGGAUGUCCCAGUUUAAUAGGCAAUGCAAGGGGGCAAAAAAGAUAAAAUUUUACCGCCGUGGUAAGUGAAAUAAAAGACCUAUGUGUUGUACUUGGUAACAUAACUUUGGCAGGAUGGAAACCAGAAUUGGUAGUGUAUCUGUAGAGUGGGGUGCCUGGUUCACUCUGGAUGAUGACAGGUGGUACAGCAGCAGAGGCUGAAGACUAGAUUUUGUUGGAAUACUCUAUAAUCUGUGUAUAGGAGAAGGAAGAGGAGCUGAUCAUUCACAGUUGAAAUAAGCUGGUGACAGGUACUCCUCUCCAAAAGAAGGCCUGGGUGCCAGAUUUUGGGCUCAGAGUGACUUAAUAGUUCUGAUACACAUUUGAUAAAUAAUAUCACAAAGGCACCACUGAACAUCUGAAUAUAUGAACAGAGAGCUAUGAAAAAGGUAGUGACUAACCCUGCCAGGGGAGGUGUAGGAAGUGCCCCAGAAAAUAUGAUAUUUGAAGAGGGCAUUAAGCAUUCAGAGGGCAUUAAGCAUCCAUGAGAAGCGGAAGUAUGGCAUCUGAGCAGAGCAAAGGUGAAGGUGACAUGCUCUGAGAAGGAUGAGGAUUUCUUCAGAACAAAGUAUGAUUGGGGGCUGGGGUGGGAGGUGAAGCUCAGGGCACGUUGGGACCAUUUUAACACCAGGUCAUGGAGUCCAGGCUUUCUCUUCAGUAGGACUUGCUGGGCUGGUGGCUGGUUUAUGCAGAGGAGUGUUAUGAGAGACUGGAGUGCAGACAAAUCUCUCUGCGGGCGGUAUGGGUUUAUGGGAGGGUAGACUGAAAGCUCAGAGACACAAGGCAAAGAAACAGGUCAGGUGGCUACUACAACCACCCAAAAAGAGAAGCUGGGAGACCUUCCCUCAGGUUUCAAUCCAGCUAAGGCCAGUAAAACCCAUGUGUUCAUUUAGGAGACUCUUGUAUAUUUAUUAAAUAAAUAAACAAAAGAGAAAAGGCCAGGGAUCAAUGAGUUUCUUAAACAAAAAUUUAAAAGGCAAAACUAAGAUAUGUUAAAUAACACCUAGUAGAAUUUAAAGUGUACAUACUUUGUGGAAUAAAUGCAUAAAGACAUCAGAAAUAAUCAAGUAUGGAAUAAGGGUAUGGGUCUAGUGAAACAGGGCACUGAAAAAGCUGUAAACUUCCCAGGCAGAAACCUCUGCUCUCAUCCUGAGUCUGUUUUCAUUUAUGUAUCAUGUGAUAUCAUGUAUCAUGUGCAAUACAUGUGAUUAGUAAUUUGACUCACCCCCUCAGUAAAAGUCACAGUUCCUGUUUACCGAGCACCUGCUAGGCUUAAUCAUGCACAAUGCUCAGGAUACCACCUAUAUUAUCUCAGCCAAUCUGAACAACAAUGGCAAAGCAGGCUUUAUCAGGCCUGAGGUUCAGAGAGUUUAGGGAUUUACCCAAGGUUGCGGAGCAGUCAGCAGAAUUGAGAUUUGACCCUGAUCUAUCCAGCUGUGGAAAGAUUCUCUGCGACGGUACAUCCUCUGCGAUGGUGCGCCCUAGAAUGUCACUUGACUAAGAACAAAUAACAACAAAAGAACUCACCUACGUUCCUUCUAACUAAAGGAUGUGUUUAUUAUUUCCCCUUUCUAACACCACACUCCACAGAACUACUUAUCUACAUUUAUUUAACAAGGCACAUAACUUACAGGUGCCGUAGGAAAGAAGGAAGGAAUGAAGACAACAAAGCAGGAAGGCAGGCAGGAAGAAAAACACCUAUAAAAUCAAGGGCAGUAGAAACCACAGAAGAAAGCCAGAAAACCAGCCAGAUAGAUGGCUGCUGAAACAAUUCAAGAGAGACAUGAUGAUCUACUAUAAUGGCGGUGGAGAACAGAUAGAAGGCUGGUGAGCAGGUGCUCAGGGAGUCUGUCUUCUAUGGUUACAGAGAAUGCUCCUGCAAUGGUCCUGGAAACCACCCACAGCUAAACCCAGAUAAGAAGUCUGUGGCUCAGAGAGACAAAGAGUUUUUUUUAAAAACACACAGCAAACAAGAAGCGGAAUCAGGAUUUGACUCUGUAUCCAACUGACACCCAAACACCAAAUUUUCCAUCAUCUAUGCUUGUUGAAGUUUUUAAUGUAAUAUUCACUCAAUUCCUUUUUAAUAUGCAAGAACUCACAGAAACCCACACAGCCUCCAUAGGAGAACUGGUAUUUAAGCAGUCUCUGCAAAAUCAUAAUAAGGAGGAGGUAAAAGACCAUUCCACUGAAGAGGAGAUGGAAAAAAAGGAGUUUUAGAAAUCUCUCUGCAUGAAUAGAGGAUCUGUUAUUAAAGGCUAUUUUAGGAAGCAAGAAUGGAAGAAUCUGCUCCUCUCCUUUCCCAUUUCCUGGUUCUUGCAUAUCCAUCAAGGAAUCCAUCCAAUGGGCCCUUUGACACAGCUGGGAUAAUGCAGGAAAUCAGCAUUAUUCUUAGCUUACUGAAUGAAUGAUAUGGUGAAGACUCAAAAGCAGAGUCUCCAAGGGAAAUUUAAAAAAGCAUGGAAGUUUUAGGUGGGAGAAUGAAUGACUCAGCAUGCAUGUUAGAAGACUUUCAAGUAUUUGGAGGGUUCUCAUUUGGAAGGUGUAAAACCAGGACAACAACUCUGAAGAAGAUUAGAUUUCCUCUUAGGGUUCAUAUGUAGAAAUCACCAAGAAACAAGAUUCUUCAGAACUGACAUGAGAGAAGAACUUCCUCAAUCACAUGGUGGAAGGCAAUGAGCUGCCUGUAACGGGAAAUACUCCAAUAAAGGUGGUGUGACCACUUGGUGGAGAUGUUGUAGAGAAAAUUCAAGAACUGUAAAGGCCUUUAAAAUCCCUGACAUCGCAGGCUCCUCUGAUUCUGGGAGCUGCACUGAAUCCAAAUGAAUAAUACUAAAACCAUAUUUACCAUAGUCAUUAUCAUGUCUCUAGACAUCUGAGGAGAUGGAUGUUGUCUUUACUGUUUAGAUGGGAGCAUCUAGUCAGGAAUAGAAUCCAAUCACACUAGGAACCAAAUGGACUAGCCACUGAGGUAUAGCAAAUCAGAGUCCCUUAGGGGAGAAGAUGAGUCAUAGAUCAUAAUCCUCACUGGUGUUGUUACAGUCUUCCUGCGCUACAUAGCAUUGAAAUAGGCUGGAAAUGUUCUGUCCUUGGGGUGAUAAAAUAUUCCUUGGUAAGCACACAGAUUCAUUUUCCUAAAGCAAAUGAAUCACUUGUGCUUUUCUUCUCAUAUUUUUUAUCAACAGGGUAAGAACCCUGCCUGUGAAAAAAUCUGUCUAAAAAAUAAGUGUAUAUUUCAAGAGGGACUAUACAAAGAGUAAACACAUGGCAGGUCUCAUGCCAGAGGUCAAACCAGGUUCAACAUAUUUGCAUAUUUUGAUGGGAGCUGUAGAAUAAGGACUACCAAAAUGUACACUUGUUGUGUCAACCCUAAGGGUCUAAAUUUGAACACAAACGGCUUUAGGUAUUGAAGGGAAAACUGUUGCCCAAAGUAUGAAUUCUAUCUAAUAACUCAAUCCUCUAUUGUUUCCCUCUUGGGGUUUAGUAUGCCCACACUGAGAUUUGAAUGCUAAAUCUAGGUCAAACAGAAAUUUGCUCAAGUAUUCCCAGUUCUGAGGACUCGGAAGCUGCUCUGAAAACACUUGUGCUGAAUGACGGCAUUUUACAGAGGCAAUAUGCACUGCAUCUAUUCUUUGAAAAAAUUUUUUUGAGUUCUUUCUCUAUGUCAAGUAUUCUGCUGGGCCUAGGAAUGGGGAGGAUGAGGUAUGGGCCCUUCCUUCAACUAGCUCAUAAUGGUGUGCAGACAGAUUUACAGUGAUAUAAUUCAGUGUUUUUAGUGCUGCAAGAGAGGUAUUUAUAAUGAACAAUGGUUAUGUAAAGAAAGGAAAAAUUGACCAUUUGCUCUGUGUAUUUGGGGGGAAGGUGAGGUUUGUAGGAAAAAGUUUAUCAAAAGAGUUAACAUGUAACCUGUAAGCUGGAUGUUGAAGUUUAUCCUUUCUUAUAUAGGUGAAAGAUGGGACAGUAUUCCAGAGAGAAGGAGGAGAAUAUGCAAAUGUGCCAUUUGUGGAAAAGUGUAUAUAUUUAGGAAAAUGUUAAUAUGGCUAGUCCAUGGGGUUGUACAGGAGACGGGGCUGGGAAGUAGGAGAGGAGAGUGAGUGAUUUUUUUUUACAAACAUGAUCCUUUGGCUAUGGGGAAGAAAAACAAAUACAAAAAGGUUUUAAAGAGGAAAGAGACAUGAUCAGGUUUUAUGAUUUAUAAAUGUAUGUGUCCAUACAGGGAGACUGGAUUGCAAGGGAAAAAAUGGAAUCUGGAAGCAUGAUUAAAAGUUGAUUACAAAAUUUAUAAGUUGGGUAAAAUCUAGUGGUGGUAAGCCUAUGGAGAAACAGAUAUUCUCAUACACUUUUGGUAGAAACGUAAAUUGGUAUAACUUUUUGGAAGACAAUUUGCUAACAUGUAGCAACUUCACUUUUAGCAUUUAUCUUAUAGAUAUAUUCACACACACACAAUGUGACAUUUAGUUGACAACCUAAAUGUCCAUCAAUAGGGAACUACAUUUAUACAAUGUAAUAGGCUGAAAUCAUAAAAGCAGAAUGAGGUGGAGAUUUACAUAUAGAUAUGGAAAAAUGGUGAAGGUCUAUAGUUAAGGGAAAAGUAUGAUUUGCAGUACAGGUUAUAGACAAACAGAUUGGCAGACAGAUAGACAUAAAAUUGGUAACCAUCGUGUUAAAAAUAACUAGAAAAGCUAAGUCAAAACAAACAAACAAAAAUAUAGUUUGAAGGAAGUGGAGACCUUCCAAGUCAUUGAAAAAUUAUAGGUCUAAGAUCCUGGAAAACAAAGAGAUUGGGAGAAACAAGCCUGGUAUUUGAAGUAGCUUUUU
rnacentral:lncRNA from 1 species